rnacentral:rRNA from 1 species
UGCAAGUCGAGCGAACGGAUAAGGAGCUUGCUCCUUUGAAGUUAGCGGCGGACGGGUGAGUAACACGUGGGUAACCUACCUAUAAGACUGGGAUAACUUCGGGAAACCGGAGCUAAUACCGGAUAACAUUUAGAACCGCAUGGUUCUAAAGUGAAAGAUGGUUUUGCUAUCACUUAUAGAUGGACCCGCGCCGUAUUAGCUAGUUGGUAAGGUAACGGCUUACCAAGGCGACGAUACGUAGCCGACCUGAGAGGGUGAUCGGCCACACUGGAACUGAGACACGGUCCAGACUCCUACGGGAGGCAGCAGUAGGGAAUCUUCCGCAAUGGGCGAAAGCCUGACGGAGCAACGCCGCGUGAGUGAUGAAGGGUUUCGGCUCGUAAAACUCUGUUAUUAGGGAAGAACAAAUGUGUAAGUAACUGUGCACAUCUUGACGGUACCUAAUCAGAAAGCCACGGCUAACUACGUGCCAGCAGCCGCGGUAAUACGUAGGUGGCAAGCGUUAUCCGGAAUUAUUGGGCGUAAAGCGCGCGUAGGCGGUUUCUUAAGUCUGAUGUGAAAGCCCACGGCUCAACCGUGGAGGGUCAUUGGAAACUGGGAAACUUGAGUGCAGAAGAGGAAAGUGGAAUUCCAUGUGUAGCGGUGAAAUGCGCAGAGAUAUGGAGGAACACCAGUGGCGAAGGCGACUUUCUGGUCUGUAACUGACGCUGAUGUGCGAAAGCGUGGGGAUCAAACAGGAUUAGAUACCCUGGUAGUCCACGCCGUAACGAUGAGUGCUAAGUGUUA